UGUGUGAGAGUGGCGGACGGGUGAGUAGUGUCUGGGGAUCUGCCCGAUAGAGGGGGAUAACCACUGGAAACGGUGGCUAAUACCGCAUAACGUCGCAAGACCAAAGAGGGGGACCUUCGGGCCUCUCACUAUCGGAUGAACCCAGAUGGGAUUAUCUAGUAGGCGGGGUAAUGGCCCACCUAGGCGACGAUCCCUAGCUGGUCUGAGAGGAUGACCACCCACACUGGAACUGACACACGGUCCACACUCCUACGGGAGGCAGCAGUGGGGAAUAUUGCACAGUGGGCGCAAGCCUGAUGCACCCAUGCCGCGUGUAUGAAGAAGGCCUUCGGGUUGUAAAGUACUUUCAGCGGGGAGGAAGGCGACGGGGUUAAUAACCGUGUCUAUUGACGUUACCCGCAAAAGAAGCACCGGCUAACUCCGUGCCAGCAGCCGCGGUAAUACAGAGGGUGCAAGCGUUAAUCAGAAUUACUGGGCGUAAAGCGCACGCAGGCGGUCUGUUAAGUCAUAUGUGAAAUCCCCGGGCUUAACCUGGGAACUGCAUUUGAAACUGGCAGGCUUGACUCUUGUAGAGGGGGGUAGAAUUCCGUGUGUAGCGGUGAUAUGCGUAGAGAUCUGGAAGAAUACCGGUGGCGAACGCGGCCCCCUGGACAAAGACUGACGCUCAUGUGCGAAAGCGUGG
rnacentral:rRNA from 1 species